ACAAGCAAGUGAGCCAGCAGCCAGCAGCCAGAAGCCUGCCAGCCUAAUGUCUGGGCAAAGGCUUCAGCAGGCAAACUGUUCAGUCAUUGGCAGCACAGCCCAACACAAUGAGCCACUGGAUUUAUUUUUGUUUUUGACGGCAAUGUCCAGCGAAAAACCGGAACGUGUCUGAACCACUUCGUGUCGGACUGUUUUCACAACCUCAGUCAGUACAACACUGGCCUGGCUGAAAUACUGUUCCUGAAAGAGGGAUUCAUACCAACUGUCUGUGGAGAGAUGGCAGAGGAAGUGACCUGAUGAAGCUCAGGUGUUCCUGAACCCAUCAGACAGAGACAGCUGCAGCAUCAGGACAGUCUGGGUAUCCAAAGGAAGACGCAUCAAGAUGAACACUGGCUGCAGAGCUCCAUUACUAGAUCACACUUCAGUAUACUAGAAACCUAAGAUACCUUGAUGAAGGACAUGAUCUGCACAGUUUACAUAAAAGUUCUAGCUUUGUUACUUGCAACGUGUGUAACUGGAAUAUGAAUGAAACAUAAAUGUUUAUAAAGUGUUUUACUUUUAAGAAGUCAUUUUUAAAUUCAGUAAUAAGUGUGGUUUUAUAUAAAUAACAUGUUAUUUCACAGAUGUUUUAUAAAGAUGUCCUGCAUGUACAAGAGUUGAAAACCUGGUUUGUGUAACAUCUAUCAAUAUGAAAAUGUGAAAUUUAAACCUGUAGUAAAUGACUAAGCAACACAAUACACGUGGCGAAUAAUUUAACAAAUUCACGCACAUAUUUCUAACCAGCCAGCAUUACUGGUCUAUACAGGAGCAGCCGCGUCAGACGGUCCGACUUAAAUGACACUGAUUGAUGCUUUUGACCUCAGAUGUAGAAUGUGUAGUCUAAAGAGAAACGCAAAUUUCAGCACCGCUGAUCUGUAUAAUCAGACCAAAAGACAUGUCCUGUAAUUUUAAUUAUUCGCCACGUGUGUUUGUUGACAUUAGAACAGCUGUAGCGAGAACGGGAGCCGGGAGGAGUAGCGGCAGCCCGCUACACAGUGGAAACUGGCACCGGGUUCAGUGGUAGUUUAGUAAUCCACGGUAGUACUGUUGUGUAGGAACCGUGAAGUUUUGGCACCGCGAGUACCAUGCAACACUAAAUGUUAAAAUCACAGCCCGACGUUGUAUACGCCUCCCUGUAAUUCACUCACUCAUUAGGCUACUCUGCUCAGGCCGUGACUAGCAGAGACAACCAUGUUGCUGCUAAUCAGUGUGCUUGCAGCAGCAGGGCAUUAUAAUUCAUUACUUGUGUUGUUGUUGUUGUUGUGAAUGUACGGUAGGCCGUAGCCAAUGAUAUAUAGCGCAAUUCAUUACUUAUGGGAAACGUUUCAAGAGCAACAGGCUUACCUCCAAGCAGCACAGCACAGGGAGAAGUGGGUGUAAUGCGGAAGACAUAGCCAGGUCAAACAAACCAAUAGAAACUCUUCUCUCAUCCACCAGCGUAUGCCCCGCCCAUCAAGUGCAGUUGAAUUAGCAAACAAAACUUUAUAACUCGCAAGCAAAGAGGACUGAUUUAUAAGCAAAAUGGUUGUAUGUUUUUACUUACAAACAUUAGUUUUGUUUGAAGUUAAAGAAAUAUGUUCUCUUUU